rnacentral:rRNA from 1 species
UUAGCCGAUCCUUAUUCCUACAGUACCGUCAAGCUCCCACACGUGGGAGGGUUUCUUCCUGUAUAAAAGCAGUUUACAAUCCAUAGGACCGGCUUCCUGCACGCGGCAUGGCUGGUUCAGUCUUGCGACCAUUGACCACUAUUCCUCA